GCGACAUAAAUAUGACCAACCAGAUCCCAAGUAGACAGGAACAAAUGAAGAUAUAGCGCAUAGAAAGACUUAUUCUUGGUGAUCAACUGCUAUUGACAUUUUUGAAUCGGGGCAAAUGUGGAGUGAAGAAAAACGUUUGCAACACAUCCAUUCCAGAGCGCUCUGACAGAUAAAACUGACACACUUGAUGAGGACACAGUCAAAGCUUUAAAAGACCGUGUGAUAAAGCAGUCUUCAAUUACUACGGUGUCUGAAUUGCAAGAAGUGACCCUCCACUUAAACAUGUGACAUCUAAACUGUUUUGUGUUUUAGUUCAGCUUUUUAUAGGUUUAUCUUAAGUUGGUUAAAGGCGGAGUGCACUAUU